rnacentral:lncRNA from 1 species
UUGCAUUCUAGAGAGGCUGAACAUUCUUUGUCCCUCUGCUCAUUAGCUAAUUCAUUUCUAGUUUUACAUUACUAAUUUUCUUCUUUUAGAAGUGAAUGAAUGGUGCCUCUUACAUUGAAUGGAGUCAGAUGAAGCCUGAUACUUGUAUUUAUUUUCAUAUGCUAACAUGGUUUGAUUUCAAAUCUCACCAACAAUGGUUAAGCUUUGCCGACUGGGAGAUGCAGUGCUGAGUAUUAGGGGAAAUACACUGAGAGCUGGAGGGUGCUCACAGGAAGCAUACAAGUCCUGGAGGAAAACAGCAGGCCGGGCACAGCAGCUGAACCAUGAGGCUGUGCACACUCAGAGCAAUUCUGCAAGAGAGCUUCAGCAAAAUUCCAAAACAAUCGCAUCGAGAGUCGGCACAACGCAGGUCUCCCGACUUUGACUGGUUCCAGACGAAGUUUCUUUUGUCGUUUGCUAGCCUCCAGGGAUGCAAUCUCUACACUCUCUGUGGGAUGGAGGGG